rnacentral:rRNA from 1 species
CGGACGGGUGAGUAACGCGUGGAAAACCUGCCGUAUACUGGGGGAUAACACUUAGAAAUAGGUGCUAAUACCGCAUAAGCGCACAGCUUCGCAUGAAGCGGUGUGAAAAACUCUGGUGGUAUACGAUGGUUCCGCGUCUGAUUAGCUAGUUGGUGUGGUAAUGGCCUACCAAGGCAACGAUCAGUAGCCGGCCUGAGAGGGUGAACGGCCACAUUGGGACUGAGACACGGCCCAAACUCCUACGGAAGGCAGCAG